AAAAUCUUCUACAUUCUGGAGGAAAACCUUGAGGAAACCUCUUAAUAUCAGUACAAUAAUUAUAAAUCAUGAAAUUCUUUUGAACCCAUCUAAGUCUUCUUCUGCCAUUAGAAUCAAGUUCUUGAUUUUGCCAUUUUUGAUCAGAAAAUUGUGAUGGGCUAAAGCUUUGGGCCAUGUAGUUUCUAUAGUAGGCUGUGAAUGGGGCUUGGGCCCAAUCAGUUUUUACUAGGCCUCCUCUUG
rnacentral:misc_RNA from 1 species